rnacentral:rRNA from 2 species
CGCGCAGGCGGUUCUUCAAGUCAGAGGUGAAAGCCCAGGGCUCAACCCUGGAAUGGCCUUUGAGACUAGAGAACUAGGGUACGGGAGAGGUGAGUGGAAUUCCGAGUGUAGAGGUGAAAUUCGUAGAUAUUCGGAAGAACACCAGUGGCGAAGGCGGCUCACUGGCCCGUUACCGACGCUCAGGCGCGACAGCGUGGGGAGCAAACAGGAUUAGAUACCCUGGUAGUCCACGCCGUAAACGAUGGAUGCUAGCCGUUGGUAAGCAUGCUUAUCAGUGGCGCAGCUAACGCAUUAAGCGUCCCGCCUGGGGAGUACGGCCGCAAGGUUGAA